UUAGUAUUGGAGAAAUUUGCAAUUUAGGGUGAAAUUUCGGCGACAAAGCAAGAGGAAGCAGUGAGUUGUCUCGCUUCGACCUGACCACGGCGAAGCUGAUUUUACUAUGCAUUUGGCGAAAAAUAUCUGUUAGAAAGCUUUUCUUUCGCGAGAUUUCGUGCGAGUUUUGUUAAACAUUUUGUUUUCUUUUUUCCUUUUCUCGCUAUAAACAACUCGCAUAUGUAGGGAUGUGCUACGUUUUCAACAAAGCGUCAAAGCUAGUAGCGAUGAAAAUCAUUACUGAUUUCUGGUUCUACUGAAACAUGAAUAGAAAUUAUUUUACAAAGUAGUAACACUUACUUACAUUUUCUACUCAUCUAUAUUCAACGUUUACGCAUAGAGAACGGACAACGAAAACAAAAGAAAUGUUGUUAGCGUCUACCGCAUGUGGCAUUUUGCACACCCCAAUGCAUGCGUUGACAUUGUGUGCGUGCGAAAGAAUAAGGAAAAACUCAUUUAUUUUUAUAACUCGCACGAAAUCUUUCGAUAAAAACGUUUAUCAGGCACAAUUUAUACACGAAUCGAUAGAAAAAUUAAUUAUCUAGAAUCGUAUGUUCUUGGAAUUUCCGUUUUCCUCCCCGUUUUCUCACAAUUUUGGGUAAAGUGCGUGAAACCCCGGAAUAGGCAGUGAACUCCCGUGACCACGGAGAAGCGCUACCUUAACAAUAAAAUCUGCCGGAGCAAAUAUUUUUUCAAUUUAACUAGUCAACAAAGCAGUUUCGGAAAAUCAUUUUUUUACAUUUUCUUGUAGCUUAUCAUUUCAAAAAUAUUGUGUCAAAAUUUCAAAUCAAUUGAAGUUUACAAUACAGCAGACAAUUUCGUAACACAUCAGUGAUUGAUUUGAAGAAAAAAAAGUAUAUUGUGACAUAUAUUGUGCAAUUUGGAAGGACUUGCAGUGAAAUCGACGUCCUGUAUAAUUUUUAUUAUUCGUUAUCAGUCGCUGUAGAAACAACAUCAAGCGAUUGAUUAAAAACGACGAACAUCAUCCGAUUUCCGGAUUCAAAUCGCUCGAAUCCGAAGGAAAAAAUAACAAUAUAUGGCAGGAAAAACUUCACCGAACAGAGCCUGGGAUCAACAGUUGCAACCAAGCAAUGCUGCUCCGUGUCUACGUUGAUAAUCAAUAUUUCACCAGGCACAUCAUCAUAAUAAAAUUGUAAUAAUUGCAAAAAUAAAAUAGAAUUCAAUGAAACUAUUUUGUUGUUCUUGUUCUAGAAUUCAAAUUCAUAAAACUUUUUAACAUUAGCUCAUGU